UACGAAGGGGGGCUAGCGUUGCUCGGAAUUACUGGGCGUAAAGGGUGCGUAGGCGGGUCUUUAAGUCAGAGGUGAAAUCCUGGAGCUCAACUCCAGAACUGCCUUUGAUACUGAGGAUCUUGAGUUCGGGAGAGGUGAGUGGAACUGCGAGUGUAGAGGUGAAAUUCGUAGAUAUUCGCAAGAACACCAGUGGCGAAGGCGGCUCACUGGCCCGAUACUGACGCUGAGGCACGAAAGCGUGGGGAGCAAACAGGG
rnacentral:rRNA from 1 species